CGUGUUUGCAUUGUCAACAAAAACGGAGCGAAGGCGUAAACUUAAAUGAAACAUAGUGAUGUUGUCUUUUCGUUUUUGUUGUUGAUCUAAUUGAAACUAUAGCAAAUUGUUACCAGUUGGAGGAAAAUCUGUUGAGAAAGUAUGUUGAGGAAAAUUGAGACAUGCACUUAUGUGUAUGUGAUACAUGUUUUAAAUCUCUUAACCUGUUAAAACAAUACAACAGAAAAAAUGCAAACAGUUGACUGACACUCUCAAAGAAAAAGUUUCUUAUAACUUUUUAAAAGAAUCUCACCAUCAAGUUAGAAUAUGUCCGUGGCAACAAUAGUGUUUAAGCGAAACAGGGACUGUUUAAACCCUUCUUAGACUGGAAAGAAAUUCAGCCAACACAGAGGAUUAACUCUUAUUUAGCCAUCAGAAUGAGACUGCAGUUCUCUACACACCUUCCAACAACUCAAACAGUCACACUCACAGAAUCAGUCCCCUGGUCCUAAAGUCAAGGACUAUCUGCCACCUUUGUUAACUAGUAAAACAAUAAAGAUCUUAUCAUCAAAUAUGUCACUUUCUAUCAGCCUCACUUAUACACCUGGCUACAUUGAGAUCAUCAAAUCAGGAACAGAUAUACUGUUCCCAGAUCAAAUAUACAUUUGUACAUGUACAAAAAUGUAGCUAGAUUUACAUGGAAGACAGUACACUCCCCCCGAGACAGUACACAAGCAAUUGCUGAACACAUGCAUGCCCCACUUCAGAUGACCCCCUAAAACUUCUUGGUGGCAAAAAAGAGAAUAAUGUACCUAGAGUUGGGUCAAGUCUUGCCAUCCUAAUUUUUCAAGUAACCAACAGAUCGACAACACUUUUCAAGCAAUAAACAGUGUAUUGAUGUUCAUCAGGGGUCAUGUAAGAACUAAGGAGUGUGCCGCAUCAUGCAUAGCUGAGGAAAAAGGAGAACGACACACUUUUGUUGAGGUCAAU